rnacentral:snRNA from 1 species
AUACUUACCUGGCAGGGGACACACCAUGAUCAUGAAGGUGGUUUUCCCAGGGCGAGGCUUAUCCAUUGCCCUCUGGAGGUGCUGACCCCUGCGAUUUCCCCAAACGUGGGGCAUUUUCAGGAUUUGGAGUUGUCCUGAAUGAUAUUGCAGGGA